rnacentral:rRNA from 1 species
UACGUAGGGGGCAAGCGUUGUCCGGAAUUACUGGGCGUAAAGCGCGUGUAGGUGGGAGAGCAAGUCCGGUGGGAAAGCCCGCGGCUCAACCGCGGAAGGUCGCUGGAAACUGCUUUUCUUGAGGGUGAUAGAGGGAAGUGGAAUUGCUGGUGUAGCGGUGAAAUGCGUAGAUAUCGAGAGGAACACCUGCGGCGAAGGCGGGUUGCUGGGCCGACACUGACGCUGAGGCGCGAAAGCCAGGGGAGCGAACGGG